rnacentral:hammerhead_ribozyme from 1 species
AUCCAGAAGACGAGUCCCAAAUAGGACAAAACGGCCAUCCUGGAU